rnacentral:rRNA from 1 species
GGUCACCACGGUAGGAUUCAUGACUGGGGUGAAGUCGUAACAAGGUAGCCGUAUCGGAAGGUGCGGCUGGAUCACCUCCUUU